rnacentral:tRNA from 1 species
GCCUCGGUGGUUUAGUGGUCAAGGCGUCUGGUAAACAGGAGGGCGUGGGUUCAAUCCCAGCCGAGGUA